rnacentral:rRNA from 1 species
UUAGUAACGGCGAGCGAACAGGGAAAAGCCCAGCACUGAAUCGCGCGGACCACAGGGACGCUGCGAAAUGUAGUGUUUGGGAGGAUCCGUAUUUCUGUAAUUUGUCAAUGCGUCCAAGUCCUUCUUGAACGGGGCCACUUACCCAUAGAGGGUGCCAGGCCCGUAGUGACCAUAGGCUUUUGCGGAAGGAUCUCUCCUUAGAGUCGGGUUGCUUGAGAGUGCAACCCUAAGUGGGUGGUAAACUCCAUCUAAGGCUAAAUAUAACCACGAGACCGAUAGCGAACAAGUACCGUGAGGGAAAGUUGAAAAGAACUUUGAAGAGAGAGUUCAAUAGUACGUGAAACCGUUUAGGGGUAAACCUGAGAAACCCGAAAGUUCGAGCGGGGAGAUUCAGUGUAUUCAGUUUGUUGGGAGUGCCGUUCCAGACGGUUGUCGUUUACGUCAAUCGCUCUUACGUGUGCUACCGCAUUCUGAACGCAUGCACUUCUCCCCUAGUAGAACGUCACGACCCGUUGGGUGUCGGUCUUAGGCACGCAGUGGAGCCCAGGCGUCGGUUUCGACCGUCGUUUGGACCUGUGUUGUCCCGGCCGACUGCUUGACGGUAUUUAUUUAGGCGCAGAGCCGCGACUUGCUCGCGUUCGGCCCAAUGCAAGCUUGGACGGUUACUUGAACAUCGGACUUGUGCCGAUCUCGAGGCCGGCCUGUUGUUGGUGUUGGUGUUCCCGAACAGACUCUGUACUCGCCUGUCGGUGACGCUAUAGCUUUGGGUACUUUCAGGACCCGUCUUGAAACACGGACCAAGGAGUAUAGCAUGUGCGCAAGUCAUUGGGACUAUCGAAUCCUAAAGGCGAAAUGAAAGUAAAAGCAGAGCUUGUCUCAGCUUAGGGAAGAUGGGUGACUUAAAGGUCUGCCUCGCACUCCCGGGGCGUCUCGUUCUCAUUGCGAGAAGAGGCGCACCUAGAGCGCAAAUGCUGUAACCCGAAAGAUGGUGAACUAUGCCUG